rnacentral:rRNA from 1 species
UCUGGUUGAUCCUGCCAGUAGUCAUAUGCUUGUCUCAAAGAUUAAGCCAUGCAUGUCUAAGUAUAAGUUCUGUACUGCGAAACUGUGAAUGGCUCAUUAUAACAGUUAUUAUUCCCUGGCCGGUCAGUGAUUCCUUGGAUACCCAUGGUAAUUCUAGAGCUAAUACAUGCUUAAAAACCCGACUUCUUGAAGGGUUGCGCUUAUUAGAUACCGAACCAACCCAGGCUCUGCCUGGUUUUCGUUGAUUCAUAGUGUUCUGGCGAAUCGACUCGCAAGAGUCGAUGAGGCUAUCAAGUUUCUGACCUAUCAGCUUCCGACGGUAGGAUAUUGGCCUACCGUGGCUUUGACGGGUAACGGAGAAUUAGGGUUCGAUUCCGGAGAGGGAGCCUGAGAAACGGUUACCAUAUCUAAGGAAGGCAGCAGGCGCGUAAAUUACCCAAUCCUGACACAGGGAGGUAGUGACAAGAAAUAUCAAUAUAAGACGUUUCUGUCUUGUAAUUGGGAUGAGCGAAACAUAAACCGCUUCUCGAGUAUCAAUUGGAGGGCAAGUCUGGU